rnacentral:rRNA from 1 species
GUGCCAGCAGCCGCGGUAAUACGUAGGGGGCAAGCGUUGUCCGGAUUUAUUGGGCGUAAAGAGCGUGUAGGCGGCCAGGUAGGUCUGGUGUGAAAACUCGAGGCUCAACCUCGAGAUGUCAUCGGAAACCAUCUGGCUAGAGUCCGGAAGAGGAGAGUGGAAUUCCCGGUGUAGCGGUGAAAUGCGCAGAUAUCGGGAAGAACACCUAUGGCGAAGGCAGCUCUCUGGGACGGUACUGACGCUGAGACGCGAAAGCGUGGGGAGCGAACAGGAUUAGAUACCCCAGUAGUCC